AACGAACGCUGGCGGCGUGCCUAAUACAUGCAAGUCGAGCGGACAGAAGGGAGCUUGCUCCCGGAAGUUAGCGGCGGACGGGUGAGUAACACGUGGGCAACCUACCCUGUAGAUCGGGAUAACAUCGAGAAAUCGGUGCUAAUACCGGAUAAUCAUUUGAAGUGCAUGCUUCGAAUGUAAAAGAUGGCUCCGGCUAUCACUACGGGAUGGGCCCGCGGCGCAUUAGCUGGUUGGUAAGGUAAUGGCUUACCAAGGAAACGAUGCGUAGCCGACCUGAGAGGGUGAUCGGCCACACUGGGACUGAGACACGGCCCAGACUCCUACGGGAGGCAGCAGUAGGGAAUCUUCCGCAAUGGACGAAAGUCUGACGGAGCAACGCCGCGUGAGUGAUGAAGGUUUUCGGAUCGUAAAGCUCUGUUGUUAGGGAAGAACAAGUGCCGUUUGAAUAAGGCGGCACCUUGACGGUACCUAACCAGAAAGCCACGGCUAACUACGUGCCAGCCGCCGCAGUAAUAC
rnacentral:rRNA from 1 species